rnacentral:ncRNA from 2 species
UAAGCAGGAGUGGCCUUCGGUUCCGGCAGAGAUGCCGGAUGAAAAGGGAACGCGGUGCAAACCCGCGGCUGCCCCCGCAACUGUAAGCGGCGAGAGACGGCGACUAAGCCACUGGAAUCCUUCCGGGAAGGCCGCCCGAUCGUAGACCCGCAAGCCAGGAGACCUGCCAAGGUGAUCACCCUUUC